AUGGCGCCACUGUAUUUAGCCUGGUGACAGAGCAAGACUGUCUCAAAAAAAAAAAAAAAAGAAAAAAAGAAAGUAAAACUGUCGUCUCUUCUUUAGGCCAGAGAUUGGCCGCCCCAAGCUAGAUAGUGACACAUGCUGCUCCAUGGCUGCCCUUUUAGAAGGACAAGUAUGAGAAUAACCUGGUCAAGUAACCUCUGAGGUGAUUCCAAAGGAUUUCAAAACAAAAUAGGGAUUUUUGGAGUAUAGAUUUGAGCAAAAGCCAGUGUGGGCCGGCACAUGAUACAGAAUCUGCCAACUUUGCAAUUUAGAAAAGGGGAAAGAAAGCCAACAGUUUUUUCCUGGCAGCGUGGGCCCACUUGGUCUCAGGCCCCCGUGUCUGCUGAGUGAACAAGUCUGCAAGCAUUUCUCCAUCAUCCCCACCCUGAGAGGAGGCAGCAGCCAGCCACAGAAGCAGUAUAUACAGAGCCAGAGUGCCACUGGGCUGUGACACCAUCAUCCACCAAGGUUGCUGUGGCACAGGGAGUUUGGUCAUCUUUGUAGUAUUCUUUAGAAGACCCCUGAGAGUGACCACCCUUAGGGGCUGUACAGAUCCCAUCUUCGCAUUGAACUUGCUUUUGAAUUUGGCCUUUUCACCUCUUACUCUCCUUUUCUGGGUGUUUCCUGUCUAUUUAGUCAGGAUUGAGGGAUGUCUGAUCAGAUGCCAUGGUCAGUCAGUAAGCUAAAGCGUUGAAGCUGGACAGUGUGGUCUGGUAAGUUGAGACCAGUGAGGCUUGGGCCAACACAUCAGACAGAAAACUGCCCCCAGUUGAGCAGUGGGACUUGUCAUUGACUUUAAGGAAGAACAACGUUGAAAGGUUCUCAGUGUGGUCAGUGGCUAAAGUUAAUCAAGGAGAGAGGAAGACACUGUUCUUGGUGCUGCAGGUCCUGCCUAGCCCUUGAGGCUUGAGAACACCCCUUGGAAUAAACUAGAGAGGGAGGUACACUGGGUCAGGGGUACAGAUUUCCUUUCAGAAGCUUAGAAGUUAAUGGGGAUGUGGUAAUCCACAGUUGCUUCUUUGUAGCUAUAAAAUGUGACAUGUGUUUGGAGCCAAGGAUGACUUUUCUCUUUCAGAAUAAAGUUUGCAUUUUUUCCUAAAACAGGUAAAUGAUGGGAGAUGAAACCAGACGAUAAUUCAGAUUCUGGCCCCAGAUAAUUGCUUGGAUUUCUUGAGAUAGGGAGGUUCCUACGUUUGGCAUAGUGUGAGAAACAUUUAAGGUGUUGCUAAAGGCGCGGGUGGCUCUUCAGUGUCUCUGAAGAACCACAAACAGUUCAGGUCUUAUCCAGAUUAUAAGGGAGAGGCUAGCUGUGCAAGAGCCGGGGACAAGCCAGUCAGGUGAGAACACAGGAGUGAGACCCCAGUGCAGAAAGGGUCUGGGGUAUCUGUGGGGUAUGGCUGGAGGCUGCAGCAGGCUGCAGCAUGAGAAGGGAGUGAGGGGUGGGAUGUCCUGAAGUCCAGGCUCUCUGCCACAAUCUAGCCAGAGGGGAUCUAGGCUGGGUUCUGUAUCCAAAUAGGAGUGGGUUAGGUGUGAGGUGCAUUUUGGAGGUGGAACAGAAAGGACCAGCUGGAGGAAUGAGUGGAGGUAAAGAGGAAAGAGGAAUUGGGUUUUGUUGCAUGAGCAGCCAGUGGGUGGCUGUGUCCUUCAUGGAUACAGGGGAGCCAAGGGACCAGAAGUGGUGCUUCAGACAUCUUUUGUCUGGGACGCCUUUUAGGCAUCCAAGUGAACGUGUUGAAUAACUAGUGAGCUGACAAGCCAGCCAGGUGGAGGGCUCAGGUAGGAGACGUGGGCUUGGGGGAGUGGACCGAAUUCUGUGAUAACAGAGCUGGCCAGGGGCAGGGCAGGGAACAAAGGAACCACAAGAAGUGACUUCCCUGUUGGACUUUGAAGACGGUAUUAGAGCAUGAAGAGCCUUCCGGAAGAGGACACAGAGUGUAAAAGAGGAGUGUGUGUGUUUCCAGGGUGAGUUAGGAGGCUGGAAGCUUUAGGGCUGGCUCAUGGAGGGGACGUCUCCUGUGUGAAGAAUGUGGACUUCUUCCUGACUGCAGCAGGAAGUCUGUCUAUAGUCAUUAAGCAGGGUCGUGAAAUGAUCAGAUUUAGCUUUUCACAUGAUUAUUCUGGCAGCAGAGGACUGAGAGCACCACGAUCCCAGCAAGAGACACCCAGGACCCUCAGGGACUUGCUCCAAAUACAGGUCCCUGGUUUGUUUCUAAGAGCUUAACUGUGGAGGUGCCUGGCUCACCUGCCCAGGGACUCUGGCCGCUUAGCAAAAGGGAGGGUGAGGGAUCCGGCGGAGCAUGAUGGCCUGGCUGCUGAAUUCUGUCCUGCCUAGGGUCUAAAGAUGUUCUUAUUCCCACAGGGCCAGUUGUUAGAAAUGCAGGCAGUGACACAGAUGCAUUCUUCUCUCAGUGGUGCCUUUUUUUUUUAAUUGUUCCCUGCAGCAGCACAUUCCAUGGCAGAUUCCAUGACAGGGCUACUCUUACUCUUGAUUUCAGUGGUUUUGAUUUUAUGUCUGUUGCCAUAGUGCCUGGAGCUAAGCCUUAUCAAAUAAUUGCACAUCUGGUGAUCACUUAGGCUUCUAGAAACGUGAAGCAGGGAGGAUCCUCAAGGGACUCUGGUCAGCACUCCUGCUGCUGAGAGGCUUCACCACAUUCCCCCAGACUCACCAAUAGCCUAUUACACUUGAUACACCUGUGUGUGCGCACCAGCGCACUCAGCGCCCCCCUCCUCACAACCCAGCCCCUUGUGAGGCUGGCUGGACCACAGCUUGCCGUGUUCUGCACCAUUCUAGGGCAAAAGGAUUUGCCCAAAGUAUGUCACUAGACGUGACAAAACAGGCCCUUAGUCCAGUGCCUUUGGCAGGGGCUAGCUAGCUGGAGCAACACGGCCAUAUUCAGAUGCCCAUCCCACCACUUGUUAGCUGUGUGCCCGUCCCCCCUCCCCCGCCCCACCUGAGGGUGACAGGAUCCUCCUGAAAGUCUGUUAGGAGGAUUAAAUGAUCCGCUAAAUAGGAUUUUUCAUUCAUAAGCACUCAAUAAAUGGUAGCUGCUGUUGUUAUUCAUCCCACUGUA